rnacentral:rRNA from 1 species
CCUACGGGUGGCAGCAGUGGGGAAUAUUGCACAAUGGGCGCAAGCCUGAUGCAGCCAUGCCGCGUGUAUGAAGAAGGCCUUCGGGUUGUAAAGUACUUUCAGUCGUGAGGAAGGGGGUGUCGUUAAUAGCGGCAUUCUUUGACGUUAGCGACAGAAGAAGCACCGGCUAACUCCGUGCCAGCAGCCGCGGUAAUACGGAGGGUGCGAGCGUUAAUCGGAAUUACUGGGCGUAAAGCGCAUGCAGGUGGUUUGUUAAGUCAGAUGUGAAAGCCCGGGGCUCAACCUCGGAAUAGCAUUUGAAACUGGCAGACUAGAGUACUGUAGAGGGGGGUAGAAUUUCAGGUGUAGCGGUGAAAUGCGUAGAGAUCUGAAGGAAUACCGGUGGCGAAGGCGGCCCCCUGGACAGAUACUGACACUCAGAUGCGAAAGCGUGGGGAGCAAACAGGAUUAGAUACCCUAGUAGUC